rnacentral:rRNA from 1 species
AGUGAACGCUGGCGGUAGGCCUAACACAUGCAAGUCGAACGGCAGCACAGUAAGAGCUUGCUCUUACGGGUGGCGAGUGGAGGACGGGUGAGGAAUACAUCGGAAUCUACUUUUUCGUGGGGGAUAACGUAGGGAAACUUACGCUAAUACCGCAUACGACCUACGGGUGAAAGCAGGGGAUCUUCGGACCUUGCGCGAUUGAAUGAGCCGAUGUCGGAUUAGCUAGUUGGCGGGGUAAAGGCCCACCAAGGCGACGAUCCGUAGCUGGUCUGAGAGGAUGAUCAGCCACACUGGAACUGAGACACGGUCCAGACUCCUACGGGAGGCAGCAGUGGGGAAUAUUGGACAAUGGGCGCAAGCCUGAUCCAGCCAUACCGCGUGGGUGGAGAAGGCCUUCGGGUUGUAAAGCCCUUUUGUUGGGAAAGAAAAGCAGCAGGUUAAUACCCCGCUGUUCUGACGGUACCCAAAGAAUAAGCACCGGCUAACUUCGUG